rnacentral:lncRNA from 8 species
CCCCUGUCUGUCUGUGGUUCUGAUGUGACCAUGGGAAAGUUAAGAGUGUCUGUGUGGAAAAGGUUUUCUCAGGUAGAGCAGUCUGUUAACAUGAUCCUAUAUUAUAUACAUGGUCCUCAUACAUCUAUAACACUGUUAUAACACCUGUUAUAACACCUUGUAACGUCUCAUACUUCUAUAACACUGUUAUAAAACAUUGUAACGUCUCAUACUUCUAUAACACUGUCAUAACACCUUGUAACAUCUGUUAUAACACAUUGUAACAUCUGUUAUAACACAUUGUAACAUCUCAUACAUCUAUAACACUGUUACAAUGUGUUUUAACAUCUCAUACAUCCAUAACACUGUUAUAAAACAUGGUAACGUCUGUUAUAACACAUUGUAACAUCUGUUAUAACACCUUGUAACGUCUGUUAUAACACGUGUGAUGCUCUUAUUGCUGUUUUGCUGUGAUCCCUGUGAUUUUUCAUGGAGGCUGAAGCCUUGAGGUGAUUGGUCUGACAGACGGCCUUUAACUGGACAGUCUUUGGCCCCUCCCCCCACGCAGACAGACGCAGCAGGCUGAGGACCUGAUUGGUUGGCGAUGACGGAGUCUCAUUGAAACGCUUUGCAGCAUCACGGGCCUUGACUACUCUCUAGCUGCUGCUGCUAUCACCUGUUACUGCCUGACUCUAACCGCUAUCCUCUGACCCCUAACCCCUAUCCUCUAACCCCUAACCCCUAUCCUCUAACCCCUGACCCCUAACCCCAGGCUCUAACCUGCCAGACACUCUGUUAGUCUCUGUUAGUGUGUGAAACUACUGUCUGUACUGUGAUUUAAAUACUCAUUGCUUUCUACUGAUGAAUACCUAAUGAAUAAAGCAUCAGAUGUGAAUACACAAUGCAGCAUCACACGUUACAAUGUAAACCUGUUGUAAGAUUUACCCACAGAUUUACAGCGAAAUGGGACUCACACAAAAAGGCCAAAUGAAUCAGAAUGUUAUUUGAUGUAUUUGAAGGAUUGAAAAGGAAUCUGUCUGAGAGAGAGAGAGAUAUACAGCUCAGUCUGUCCAGAGAGAUAUACAGCUCAGUCUGUCUAGAGAGAUAUACAGCUCAGUCUGUCCAGAGAGAUAUACAGCUCAGUCUGUCCAGAGAGAGAUAUACAGCUCAGUCUGUCCAGAGAGAUAUAGCUGUAGAGAGGACACUACAGGAGACAGAACGCUGUAGAGAGGACACUACAGGGGACAGAACUGAACGCUGUAGAGAGGACACUACAGGAGACAGAACGCUGUAGAGAGGACACUACAGGAGACAGAACGCUGUAGAGAGGACACUACAGGAGACAGAACGCUGUAGAGAGGACACUGCAGGAGACAGAACGCUGUAGAGAGGACACUACAGGAGACAGAACGCUGUAGAGAGGACACUACAGGAGACAGAACGCUGUAGAGAGGACACUACAGGAGACAGAACGCUGUAGAGAGGACACUACAGGAGACAGAACGCUGUAGAGAGGACACUACAGGGGACAGAACUGAACGCUGUAGAGAGGACACUACAGGAGACAGAACGCUGUAGAGAGGACACUACAGGAGACAGAACGCUGUAGAGAGGACACUACAGGAGACAGAACGCUGUAGAGAGGACACUACAGGGGACAGAACUGAACGCUGUAGAGAGGACACUACAGGAGACAGAACGCUGUAGAGAGGACACUACAGGAGACUGAACGCUGUAGAGAGGACACUACAGGAGGCAGAACGCUGUAGAGAGGACACUACAGGAGACAGAACGCUGUAGAGAGGACACUACAGGAGACAGAACUCUGUAGAGAGGACACUACAGGAGACAGAACGCUGUAAAGAGGACACUACAGGGGACAGAACUGAACGCUGUAGAGAGGACACUACAGGAGACAGAACGCUGUAGAGAGGACACUACAGGAGGCAGAACGCUGUAGAGAGGACACUACAGGAGACAGAACGCUGUAGAGAGGACACUACAGGAGACAGAACGCUGUAGAGAGGACACUACAGGAGACAGAACGCUGUAGAGAGGACACUACAGGAGACAGAACGCUGUAGAGUGGACACUACAGGAGACAGAACGCUGUAGAGAGGACACUACAGGAGACAGAACGCUGUAGAGAGGACACUACAGGAGACAGAACGCUGUAGAGAGGACACUACAGGAGACUGAACGCUGUAGAGAGGACACUACAGGAGACAGAACGCUGUAGAGAGGACACUACAGGAGACAGAACGCUGUAGAGAGGACACUACAGGAGACAGAACGCUGUAGAGAGGACACUACAGGAGACAGAACGCUGUAUAGAGGACACUACAGGAGACAGAACGCUGUAGAGAGGACACUACAGGAGACAGAACGCUGUAGAGAGGACACUACAGGAGACAGAACGCUGUAGAGAGGACACUACAGGAGACAGAACGCUGUAGAGAGGACACUACAGGAGACAGAGAAAUGAUGGACAUGUCAAUAUAUCUUGGAAGGAGUUAACGUGACAUGCGAACAGGCCUAUAUAUAACACCUCACUUCCUGGUUCUUCAUGUAAUCAAGCAUUAAGAGAUGAGGCCAGAAUAUUCAACAGGUUCUGGACAUGAAUAUUCAACAGGUUCUGGACAUGAAUAUUCAACAGGUUCUGGACAUGAAUAUUCAACAGGUUCUAUUUUUUUCUCCAUUUAAAACAGAUUCUGUUAAACAUUCCUUUUCUUUCCAGGAACCAAUGGCACGUCGUGUACACACACACACACACACACACACACACACACACACACACACACACACACACACACACACACACACACA